UACGAGGGGAGCAAGCGUUGUUCGGAUUUACUGGGCGUAAAGGGCGCGUAGGCGGCGUGACAAGUCACUUGUGAAAUCUCCGGGCUUAACCCGGAACGGUCAAGUGAAACUGUCGUGCUAGAGUACAGAAGGGGCAACUGGAAUUCUCGGUGUAGCGGUGAAAUGCGUAGAUAUCGGGAGGAACACCAGUGGCGAAGGCGGCUUCCUGGCCUGUUCUUGACGCUGAGGCGCGAAAGCUAGGGGAGCAAACGGG
rnacentral:rRNA from 1 species